rnacentral:lncRNA from 1 species
UUUCCUUUUGUCUGGUUGGCCAGUAAUUGACUUUGUCCUUUUUUCAUUUAUUUCUCAGCCUCCUGGUUGUAGCAUCUUCUCCCUGGAGUCUCAGCAUUCCUGGAAGCCUAGGAAGACGCUUGAAACGUAGAGAAGUGGAGCUAGACAUUUGGCAAGGUCUGAUGGGCAGUGAUCCACCUGACAGAUGACAGGUUAGAUUGGUUAGUCACCAGGACUGGGGCACAGUGCAAAGAAAUCA